rnacentral:rRNA from 1 species
AUUGAACGCUGGCGGUAUGCUUAACACAUGCAAGUCGAACGAUGAGAAAGAGCUUGCUCUUUCGAUUAGUGGCGGACGGGUGCGUAACGCGUAGGAAUCUACCUAUUAGUGGGGGACAACUUAGGGAAACUUAAGCUAAUACCGCAUACGCCCUACGGGGGAAAGAAGGGGAUCGCAAGACCUUUUGCUGAUAGAUGAGCCUGCGUAGGAUUAGCUAGUUGGUGGGGUAAAAGCUCACCAAGGCGACGAUCCUUAACUGGUUUGAGAGAAUGAUCAGUCACACUGGAACUGAGACACGGUCCAGACUCCUACGGGAGGCAGCAGUGGGGAAUAUUGGACAAUGGGCGAAAGCCUGAUCCAGCAAUACCGCGUGUGUGAAGAAGGCCUUAGGGUUGUAAAGCACUUUCAAUUGGAAGGAAAACCUCGAAGCUAAUACCUUCGAGUUUGACAUUACCUUUAGAAGAAGCACCGGCUAACUCCGUGCCAGCAGCCGCGGUAA